GAUGAACGCUGGCGGCGUGCCUAAUACAUGCAAGUCGAGCGAAGCGGGGACGGGUGAGUAACACGUGGAUAACCUGCUAUAAGACUGGGAUAACUUCGGGAAACAGGAGUUAAAACGGAUACUUAGAAGUGGAUCCGCGUUGCAUUGUCUAGUUGGUAUUGUAACGGCUGACCAAAGCAACGAUUCAGAGACGACCUGAGAGGGUGUUCGGGCAGACGGGAACUGAGACACGGUACAGACUCCUACGGGAGGCAGCAGUAGGGAAUCUUCAGCAAUUGGCGACAGCCUGACGGAGCAACGCCGCGUGAGUGAUGAAGGUCUUCGGAUCGUAAAACUCUGUUAAUAGGGAAGCGGUACCUAAUCAGAAAGCCACGGCUAACUACGUGCCAGCAGCCGCGGUAAUAC
rnacentral:rRNA from 1 species